rnacentral:rRNA from 1 species
AUUGAACGCUGGCGGCAUGCUUUACACAUGCAAGUCGAACGGUAACAGGCCGCAAGGUGCUGACGAGUGGCGAACGGGUGAGUAAUGCAUCGGAACGUGCCCGGUCGUGGGGGAUAACGCAGCGAAAGCUGCGCUAAUACCGCAUACGAUCUAUGGAUGAAAGCGGGGGACCGUAAGGCCUCGCGCGAGUGGAGCGGCCGAUGUCAGAUUAGGUAGUUGGUGGGGUAAAGGCUCACCAAGCCGACGAUCUGUAGCUGGUCUGAGAGGACGACCAGCCACACUGGGACUGAGACACGGCCCAGACUCCUACGGGAGGCAGCAGUGGGGAAUUUUGGACAAUGGGGGCAACCCUGAUCCAGCAAUGCCGCGUGCAGGAAGAAGGCCUUCGGGUUGUAAACUGCUUUUGUACGGAACGAAACGGCUCUGGUUAAUACCCGGGGCUAAUGACGGUACCGUAAGAAUAAGCACCGGCUAACUACGUGCCAGCCGCCACGGUAACAC